rnacentral:rRNA from 1 species
CUACGGGCGGCUGCAGUGAGGAAUAUUGCACAAUGGGGGGAACCCUGAUGCAGCAACGCCGCGUGGAGGAUGACGCAUUUCGGUGUGUAAACUCCUUUUAUAUGUCAAGAAAAUGACGGUAGCAUAUGAAUAAGCACCGGCUAACUCCGUGCCAGCAGCCGCGGUAAUACGGAGGGGCAAGCGUUACUCGGAAUCACUGGGCGUAAAGGACGCGUAGGCGGGUUGGAAAGUCAGGUGUGAAAUCCUACAGCUUAACUGUAGAACUGCACUUGAAACUUCUAAUCUAGAGUAUGGGAGGGGGAGAUGGAAUUAGUGGUGUAGGGGUAAAAUCCGUAGAUAUCACUAGGAAUACCUAAAGCGAAGGCGAUCUCCUGGAACAUUACUGACGCUAAGGCGUGAAAGCGUGGGGAGCAAACAGGAUUAGAUACCCUUGUAGUC